rnacentral:lncRNA from 1 species
AGGCCUUCUUCCAUCUCCCCGUAGUGAGCAGGGGACAACAGUUUUCCCGUUUGAAUGGUUUUACACUAGUAUUUUGGGGCCCUUUAUAGCUUGUUGUUCGGUGUGAGCCAAGGCUCCGUGUUGAAGGCCGUACAUUGACCUAUAAUGGUUUACUUUUAUAAAUUGUUAAUUGGAUGGAGAGUUGUCUCAUUGGCACUCACACCACAUCUUCCUAUAUCUAUGUUAUGAUUGACAAUUCAUUACAUUUAUACAAAUGGCUAAU